UACGUAGGAGGCGAGCGUUGUCCGGAAUCACUGGGCGUAAAGCGCACGUAGGUGGGUCGUUAAGUCGGGGGUGAAAUCCUGGAGCUCAACUCCAGAACUGCCUUCGAUACUGGCGAUCUUCGAGUCCGGGAGAGGUGAAUGGAACUGCGAGUGUAGAGGUGAAAUUCGUAGAUAUUCGCAAGAACACCAGUGGCGAAGGCGGCUUACUGGACCGGUUCUGACGCUGAGGCGCGAAAGCGUGGGGAGCAAACAGG
rnacentral:rRNA from 1 species